GGCAGCCAUGCGCCGGAACAACCCAGAGCACUCGAAAGACUGCAGGCGAGAGAUCGCAAUUAUGGGCCGGGGGGCUGCCGCUUU
rnacentral:ncRNA from 18 species